AAAAAUUGAAAAAUAUAUAUAUAUAUAUAUAUAAUUGUAUAUAUGUAUAUAAAUUGAAGUGCGUGGUAAUUGAGUUUAGAGAGCUACGCAGUUUACAGCUCACAUUUGACAACGUCGAAGGUCAGGCGAAUGCUCCCCAACUACAUGCCAUGACUCGACGCACAAUUUUAUUAUAAAAAAAACUAUAUACAUACACAUAUACAUAUACAUUUGUAUGUACAUAUAUAUAAAAUAUUAAUCAGACAGGUGACAAUAACAAGAGCAACGGCGAACAACAAUUUAACCCACUUGUGUGUAGCGUGUGUCGGCUCAAACACAACAACAACAACAAUAGUAACAACAACAAAAUGGAACACGCGCCAUUGCCAUGGAGCGCACAUUGCGCAUACGCACCGUCUGACGGCCGUUGGAAUGGUUAGACACUGCGGCUAGCUAACAAAAA